AGAGUUUGAUCCUGGCUCAGAUUGAACGCUGGCGGAAUGCUUUACACAUGCAAGUCGGGCGGCAGCGCGGGGGCAACCCUGGCGGCGAGCGGCGAACGGGUGAGUAAUGCAUCGGAACGUACCCAGUCAUGGGGGAUAACUGUCCGAAAGGACAGCUAAUACCGCAUACGCCCUGAGGGGGAAAGCGGGGGAUCGCAAGACCUCGCGUGAUUGGAGCGGCCGAUGCCGGAUUAGCUAGUUGGUGGGGUAAAGGCUCACCAAGGCGACGAUCCGUAGCUGGUCUGAGAGGACGACCAGCCACACUGGAACUGAGACACGGUCCAGACUCCUACGGGAGGCAGCAGUGGGGAAUUUUGGACAAUGGGGGCAACCCUGAUCCAGCCAUUCCGCGUGAGUAAAGAAGGCCUUCGGGUUGUAAAGCUCUUUCGGCAGGGAAGAAAAGGCGGGCUCUAACAUAGCCUGUUCAUGACGGUACCUGAAGAAGAAGCACCGGCUAACUACGUGCCAGCAGCCGCGGUAAUACGUAGGGUGCGAGCGUUAAUCGGAAUUACUGGGCGUAAAGCGUGCGCAGGCGGUUUCGUAAGACAGAUGUGAAAUCCCCGGGCUUAACCUGGGAACUGCGUUUGUGACGGCGAGACUAGAGUGCGGCAGAGGGGGGUGGAAUUCCACGUGUAGCAGUGAAAUGCGUAGAGAUGUGGAGGAACACCGAUGGCGAAGGCAGCCCCCUGGGUCGACACUGACGCUCAUGCACGAAAGCGUGGGGAGCAAACAGGAUUAGAUACCCUGGUAGUCCACGCCCUAAACGAUGCCAACUAGGUGUUGGGGAAGGAGACUUCCUUAGUACCGUAGCUAACGCGUGAAGUUGGCCGCCUGGGGAGUACGGUCGCAAGAUUAAAACUCAAAGGAAUUGACGG
rnacentral:rRNA from 1 species